rnacentral:rRNA from 1 species
GCUCAGUAACACGUGGAUAACCUGCCCUUGGGACCGGGAUAACCCCGGGAAACUGGGGAUAAUACCGGAUAACGCAUAUCUGCUGGAAUGCUUUAUGCGUAAAAUGGAUUUGUCUGCCCAAGGAUGGGUCUGCGGCCUAUCAGGUAGUAGUGGGUGUAAUGUACCUACUAGCCUACGACGGGUACGGGUUGUGAGAGCAAGAGCCCGGAGAUGGAUUCUGAGACAUGAAUCCAGGCCCUACGGGGCGCAGCAGGCGCGAAAACUUUACAAUGCGGGAAACCGUGAUAAGGGGACACCGAGUGCCAGCAUCGUAUGUUGGCUGUCCAGAUGUGUAAAAUACAUCUGUUAGCAAGGGCCGGGCAAGACCGGUGCCAGCCGCCGCGGUAACACCGGCGGCCCGAGUGGUGAUCGUGAUUAUUGGGUCUAAAGGGUCCGUAGCCGGUUUGGUCAGUCCUCCGGGAAAUCUGACGGCUCAACCGUUAGGCUUUCGGUGGAUACUGCCAGACUUGGAACCGGGAGAGGUAAGAGGUACUACAGGGGUAGGAGUGAAAUCUUGUAAUCCCUGUGAGACCACCUGUGGCGAAGGCGUCUUACCAGAACGGGUUCGACGGUAAGGGACGAAAGCUGGGGGCACGAACCGGAUUAGAUACCCGGGUAGUCCCAGCCGUAAACGAUGCUCGCUAGGUGUCAGGCAUGGCGCGACCGUGUCUGGUGCCGCAGGGAGGCCGUGAAGCGAGCCACCUGGGAAGUACGGCCGCAAGGCUGAAACUUAAAGGAAUUGGCGGGGGAGCAC